GACGAACGCUGGCGGCGUGCUUAACACAUGCAAGUCGAACGGAAAGGCCCUGCUUUUGUGGGGUGCUCGCGUGGCGAACGGGUGAGUAACACGUGAGUAACCUGCCCUUGACUUUGGGAUAACUUCAGGAAACUGGGGCUAAUACAGGAUAGGAGCUCCUGCUGCAUGGUGGGGGUUGGAAAGUUUCGGCGGUUGGGGAUGGACUCGCGGCUUAUCAGCUUGUUGGUGGGGUAGUGGCUUACCAAGGCUUUGACGGGUAGCCGGCCUGAGAGGGUGACCGGCCACAUUGGGACUGAGAUACGGCCCAGACUCCUACGGGAGGCAGCAGUGGGGAAUAUUGCACAAUGGGCGGAAGCCUGAUGCAGCAACGCCGCGUGCGGGAUGACGGCCUUCGGGUUGUAAACCGCUUUCGCCUGUGACGAAGCGUGAGUGACGGUAAUGGGUAAAGAAGCACCGGCUAACUACGUG
rnacentral:rRNA from 1 species